UUACUUCGGUACGAUCGGUGACAGGUGGUGCAUGGUUGUCGUCAGCUCGUGUCGUGAGAUGUUGGGUUUAAGGUCCCGCAACCGAGCGCAACCCCUAUUGUUAGUUGCCAUCAUUCAGUUGGGCACUCUAGCGAGACUGCCGGUAAUAAACCGGAGGAAGGUGGGAUGACGUCGAAAUCAUCAUGCCCCUUAUGACCUGGGCUACACACGUGCUACAAUGGUUGGUACAACGAGUUGCGAGUCGGUGACGGCGAGCUAAUCUCUUAAAGCCAAUCUCAGUUCGGAUUGUAGGCUGCAACCCGCCUGCAUGAAGAUGGAGUUGCUAGUAACCGCAGGUCAGCUAUACUGCGGUGAAUACGUUCCCGGGGCUU
rnacentral:rRNA from 1 species